rnacentral:sRNA from 1 species
GUCGUGAGAUGUUGGGUUAAGUCCCGCAACGAGCGCAACCCUUGUCAUUAGUUGCUACAUUCAGUUGGGCACUCUAAUGAGACUGCCGGUGACAAACCGGAGGAAGGUGGGGAUGACGUCAAGUCCUCAUGGCCCUUAUGGGUAGGGCUUCACACGUAAUACAAUGGCGCGUACAGAGGGCUGCUAAGCCGCGAGGUAGAGCCAAUCCCUUAAAGCGCGUCGUAGUCCGGAUUGCAGUCUGCAACUCGACUGCAUGAAGUCGGAAUCGCUAGUAAUCGCGGAUCAGCAUGUCGCGGUGAAUACGUUCCCGGGUCUUGUACACACCGCCCGUCACACCAUGGGAGUGGGUUCCACCAGAAGCCGGUCGCCUAACCGCAAGGGGGGCGCCGACCACGGUGAGAUUCAUGACUGGGGUGAAGUCGUAACAAGGUAGCCGUAUCGGAAGGUGCGGCUGGAUCACCUCCUUUCUAAGAUAAGCACCUCGCAGUGCCCACCAUCUAUCGGCUGUUCACUCCGAACAGCAGCUCAUAACAAGCGACCCAGGCGGGUCUGUAGCUCAGUUGGUUAGAGCACCGUCUUGAUAAGGCGGGGGUCGAUGGUUCGAAUCCAUCCAGACCCACCACCCAUGCGGCGACGCGGGGCCAUAGCUCAGCUGGGAGAGCGCCUGCUUUGCAAGCAGGAGGUCACCGGUUCGAUCCCGGUUGGCUCCACCAGGAACUGGAUCACGAGGAACCAGCAAUCAACGUCGCGUCGCGAUGUUGAUUGGUGCUUCUUCAAGCAUCGAUCGGCUGCUCUUUAACAAUCUGGAAUAGAAGGUAGUUGUUCUCGCGAAAGCGUGCGUUGUGAUGACGCGUGCGAGUAGUGGGGACACUGGGUUAUGUAUUGCAUCGUGUCUUCACUUCGAAGCUGGAGUGGGGAUGCACAAGCGUGAGAAUUUCCUAAUUAUCUUUGUGAUGGCUGUGGCGACUUUGGCCGCGGCCGCUUUCGUUUUUUGAAGGCAGCAAGGUUAUAGGGUCAAGCGAAUAAGUGCAUGUGGUGGAUGCCUUGGCGAUGAUAGGCGACGAAGGACGUGACAGCCUGCGAUAAGCUGCGGGGAGCCGGCAAAUGGGCGCUGAUCCGCGGAUUU